GCUCACCCACUUUUGUUUCCGGGCAAACCAGUUCUCAGUUCUAACUUUCUUAAUGUAUUGGUAGCAUAUGUUGCUUUAAUUUACUUCUUCUCUGAUUUUGGUAAAUAGUACAGGGGAAGUUGCCUAAAAUGAUGUGAAAUAACUAUCAGGCACCUGCCAGCAGCUGGGAUUUCUAGAGCAGGACUCACAGCCUACACUACGUCAAGACAACCUCUACAUCAAGACAGGGCGGUUCAAAACAUACACGAGAUGGAAAAACAAACAAGAGAAAAGCACACAAUUUACCACUGAUAAAGAUAUAACACAAAAAGUAAAUAUUCAAGACUGUUGAUGUUACUGCUCCGGAGUUAAUUUUCCAUUGUAAACCAUGAUGAUAGCGCACAGGAACUUCAGAGUGUGACAGAGGAAAUUCUGUGCGAUAGAUGCGGUCUUCUACCUUCAAGAGAACAGAAAGAUUAAACUAGAAAUAAAGGAAGAUUGUCUUUACCA
rnacentral:lncRNA from 1 species